rnacentral:rRNA from 1 species
UCAGAACGAACGCUGGCGGCAGGCCUAACACAUGCAAGUCGAGCGCAUUUCGGGACCGAGCGGCGGACGGGUUAGUAACGCGUGGGAACAUACCCUUUUCUAAGGAAUAGCCUCGGGAAACUGAGAGUAAUACCUUAUACGCCCUUCGGGGGAAAGAUUUAUCGGGAAAGGAUUAACCCGCGUUGGAUUAGCUUGUUGGUGAGGUAAAGGCUCACCAAGGCGACGAUCUCUAGCUGUUCUGAGAGGAAGAUCAGCCACACUGGGACUGAGACACGGUCCAGACUCCUACGGGAGGCAGCAGUGGGGAAUAUUGCACAAUGGGGGAAACCCUGACGCAGCAACGCCGCGUGGGUGACGAAGGCCUUAGGGUUGUAAAACUCUUUCACCAGGGAAGAUGAUGACGGUACCUGGCGAAGAAGCACCGGCUAACUCCGUGCCAGCAGCCGCGGUAAUACGGAGGGUGCUAGCGUUGUUCGGAAUUACUGGGCGUAAAGGGCUCGCAGGCGGUAAUGACAGUCAGAAGUGAAAGCCCCGGGCUCAACCUGGGAAUUGCUUUUGAAACUUCAUUUCUAGAGUUAUGGAGAGGUAAGUGGAAUUCCUAGUGUAGAGGUGAAAUUCGUAGAUAUUAGGAAGAACACCAGUGGCGAAGGCGGCUCACUGGCUCGAUACUGACGCUGAGGUACGAAAGUGUGGGGAGCAAACAGGAUUAGAUACCCUGGUAGUCCACACCGUAAACGAUGAAUGCCAGUCGUCGGGUAGCAUGCUAUUCGGUGACACACCUAACGGAUUAAGCAUUCCGCCUGGGGAGUACGGUCGCAAGAUUAAAACUCAAAGGAAUUGACGGGGGCCCGCACAAGCGGUGGAGCAUGUGGUUUAAUUCGAAGCAACGCGCAGAACCUUACCAACCCUUGACAUCCUAUGCCAACUCCAGAGAUGGAGCCUUCCUUCGGCUGGAUAGGAUACAGGUGCUGCAUGGCUGUCGUCAGCUCGAGUCGUGAGAUGUUCGGUUAAGUCCGGCAACGAGCGCAACCCACAUCCUUAGUUGCCAGCAGUUCGGCUGGGCACUCUAGGGAAACUGCCCGUGAUAAGCGGGAGGAAGGUGUGGAUGACGUCAAGUCCUCAUGCCCCUUACGGGUUGGGCUACACACGUGCUACAAUGGCAGUGACAAUGGGUAAUCCCAAAAAGCUGUCUCAGUUCGGAUUGGGGUCUGCAACUCGACCCCAUGAAGUCGGAAUCGCUAGUAAUCGCGUAACAGAUGACGCGGUGAAUACGUUCCCGGGCCUUGUACACACCGCCCGUCACACCAUGGGAGUUGGUUCUACCCGACGGCCGUGCGCUAACCCUUGGGAGGCAGCGGACCACGGUAGGAUCAGCGACUGGGGUG